AACAAAUCAUGCAUAAAUGUUAUAGAGUUGCUUGAAUUCAGGCCAAAAGCAAAAGUUCACCAUGAAAAGAAAACAGCUUCACGUGGGCCUGGAAAAGGUGCAAUAACUGGUCCUGCAUCAGCUUUAGGGGAACUUUGAAUUGCCCAUACAACUUUCUCAUGUUUAGGAACUACUUAAGAUUCAAACCAGUAAACCUAUACCAAACACCAUCCUCCCUGAUGAACUUUCCUACUCAACACAAGUACACGGUACUUUCCUUUUAAGGCUUUAAUAGACAUGAAGUACAGAACAUUUACAUGCUUUAUUGUUUCCCAAAGAACUGUCCAGUAACAUUUCCCACUA
rnacentral:misc_RNA from 1 species